UCUUGAGAGCGGCGGACGGGUGAGUAAUACCUAGGAAUCUGCCUGAUAGUGGGGGAUAACGUUCGGAAACGGACGCUAAUACCGCAUACGUCCUACGGGAGAAAGCAGGGGACCUUCGGGCCUUGCGCUAUCAGAUGAGCCUAGGUCGGAUUAGCUAGUUGGUGAGGUAAUGGCUCACCAAGGCUACGAUCCGUAACUGGUCUGAGAGGAUGAUCAGUCACACUGGAACUGAGACACGGUCCAGACUCCUACGGGAGGCAGCAGUGGGGAAUAUUGGACAAUGGGCGAAAGCCUGAUCCAGCCAUGCCGCGUGUGUGAAGAAGGUCUUCGGAUUGUAAAGCACUUUAAGUUGGGAGGAAGGGCAUUAACCUAAUACGUUGGUGUCUUGACGUUACCGACAGAAUAAGCACCGGCUAACUCUGUGCCAGCAGCCGCGGUAAUACAGAGGGUGCAAGCGUUAAUCGGAAUUACUGGGCGUAAAGCGCGCGUAGGUGGUUUGUUAAGUUGAAUGUGAAAUCCCCGGGCUCAACCUGGGAACUGCAUCCAAAACUGGCAAGCUAGAGUAUGGUAGAGGGUAGUGGAAUUUC
rnacentral:rRNA from 1 species